rnacentral:rRNA from 1 species
AGUGAACGCUGGCGGUAGGCCUAACACAUGCAAGUCGAACGGCAGCACAGUAAGAGCUUGCUCUUACGGGUGGCGAGUGGCGGACGGGUGAGGAAUACAUCGGAAUCUACUUUUUCGUGGGGGAUAACGUAGGGAAACUUACGCUAAUACCGCAUACGACCUACGGGUGAAAGCAGGGGAUCUUCGGACCUUGCGCGAUUGAAUGAGCCGAUUUCGGAUUAGCUAGUUGGCGGGGUAAGGGCCCACCAAGGCGACGAUCCGUAGCUGGGAUGAGAGGAGGUUCGGCCAAACGGGAACGGAGAAAGGUUCCAGACUCCACGGGAGGGAAGCAGUGGGAAUUAUGGAACAAUGGGCAAAGGCUUGUUCAGGCAAUACGGGGGGGGGGAAGAGGGCUUUCGAGUGGUAAAGCCCUUUUGUUGGGAAAAAAAGGCGGCAGGUUAUAACCCCGCUGUUCUGAGGUUACCAAAAGAAUAAGCACCGGCUAACUUGGG